rfam:Salmo salar isolate Sally breed double haploid chromosome ssa01, whole genome shotgun sequence.
UGUAUGCACUGAUGUAAGUCGCUUUGGAUGAAAGUGUCUGCUAAAUAGCAUUUA